rnacentral:rRNA from 1 species
AUUGAACGCUGGCGGCAGGCCUAACACAUGCAAGUCGAGCGGAUGAAGGGAGCUUGCUCCUGGAUUCAGCGGCGGACGGGUGAGUAAUGCCUAGGAAUCUGCCUCGUAGUGGGGGAUAACGUCCGGAAACGGGCGCUACUACCGCCUACGUCCUGCUGCAGCAAGUUGGGGGUCUUCGGACCUCUCGCUCUCAGAUGAGCCUAGGUCGGAUUAGCUAGUUGGUGGGGUAAGUGCCUACUAAGGCGACGAUCCGUAACUGGUCUGAGAGGGUGAUCAGUCACACUGGAACUGAGACACGGUCAAGACUACUAAGGGAGGCAGCAGUGGGGAAUAUGAGACAAUGGGGGAAAGCCUGAUCCAGCCAUGCCGAGUGUGUGAAGAAGGUCUUCGGAUUGUAAAGCACGUUAAGUUGGGAGGAAGGGCAGUAAGUUAAUACCUUGCUGUUGUGACGUUACCAACAGAAUAAGCACCGGCUAACUUCGUG